rnacentral:rRNA from 1 species
UACGAAGGGUGCAAACGUUGCUCGGAAUCAUUGGGCGUAAAGCGCACGUAGGCGGCGCAGUAAGUCGGACGUGAAAUCCCUCGGCUCAACCGAGGACGUGCAUCCGAAACUACUGUGCUCGAGUAUGGAAGAGGGUCGCGGAAUUCUCGGUGUAGAGGUGAAAUUCGUAGAUAUCGGGAGGAACACCAGUGGCGAAGGCGGCGUUCUGGACUGCAUCUGACACUGAAAGACGAAAGCCAGGGGAGCAAACGGG